rnacentral:lncRNA from 1 species
AGCUGGAGUGUUAGGGCAAGUGCUCAAGAUACAUUCGGGCGAAUUCACCCUUCUCACCAGGGCUGCGUGUCCCUCGCUUGAACAAGUGCCUGGAUUCCAUCGCCAGACCCUCUGGGAGAGGCCCCAGAGGACGCUGAGGGUACAAGAGGGGGGGCUCCUGGAUCUGUGUGGAGAGGGGUUGCCCAGACCCCUGGUGAUGGCUCAGCUGCACCGGGGCACCUGCAGCUCAGACAUCUGAUGACUGAACAACCUCCACUGGGUCACCUACAGCCCAGACACCUGAUGGCAGCACAACCUCCACCAGGACACCUGCAGCCCAGACACCUGAUGACUGUACAACCUCCACCAGGACACCUGCAGCCCAGACACCUGAGGACUGAACAACCUCUACCAGGUCACCUGCAGCUCAGACACCUGACACCACAAUACCCUCCACCAAGUUGCCGUCUUGGAAACACCAGCUUGUGCUUUCUCCCAGCAGUGGAGAAACAGGUUGCAGAAAGUAACGACUCAUCUCCACAGCAUUUAUUGCACUGGAUCAGAGGCUGAGGCUGCAAAGAGGAGGACACUACACAUGAAGCCGGGCAGAUCAGAAAAGGCUUCACGGUCUUAGUGAGCGGGCAAGCCUGCCAGGGAGGACAAGGAGCUACCCUAACAGGAGCAGCAGCAAGCAAUUCUGUGAAUAAUGGGAAUGAGGGGCUGGGAUGCGGAUGUGACAAGAGAUCAAGAAAGGUUUGAAACAUCACAACUUGGGUACUUUGUUCUUUUUAGCAGGAAUGUGACAAGCAGAAUCCUAUUUCAGAAAAAUCCCUCAUGCAACAGCACGGAGGGUGACUGGACAGGGAAGACGGGGGGCAGGGAGGCAACUUAAGAACCUGGCUCAGAUUUCUGAGAGGGAAGGAGAGAGCCUGGCGAUGAUGGGGAUGGAGAGACGCGAACACUUCUGCCAGGGAGUGAGCAAGCUACACAAGGCACGUCUGGAAGGUGGAGAGGGGGCAGUCGCAGAGGAGGUGUUUUCAGCUGCAGCAGCGAG